rnacentral:lncRNA from 1 species
CAAAAUGCUUGUAUCACUCAAGAAAAGUGAGGCAACUUUCCCUCCCUUGCUCAUUUCUUUUCAUGUUGAAAAUAUGACUGAGUAUCAGACUGUCAGAUAUAACUAACUACAAAGCCUGUCAAAGUGCCUGAUGGCCUCAGGAAGUGCUGGUUCUGUGGUUGACCAGAUAUCCACUAUUCUGUGAACUUGAGUCAUAGCCCACUAACAAGACCCACACAGAGCAGGUGCUGUUCGUCAGACAGACGCACAGGGGCUGCAACACAAAAGAAACAGACACCAGAAAACUCCGCCCUCAAGAAGUUCACGUCUAGAGUGGUCGACAGGUGUGCAACGGGGCUGCCGCGGGGAAUUCGGAAGGGAGAGUGUGCCUGAGGGAAUGAGGCCGAGUGUCACAGAGGAGAGGUGCUGCUGCUGGCACUGGAAACACCAGGGUGCUGUUUUCCAGGCUGGGUGGUUUUGGGAGGGGCAGUGGUGCGUGGCUGGAGCCUCAUCUGUGAUGACGGAAGUGAGGUAGUCAGGAGACG